AGCAGCCGCGGUAAUUCCAGCUCCAAUAGCGUAUAUUAAAGUUGUUGCAGUUAAAAAGCUCGUAGUUGAAUUUCGGGGUCAGUAGGUUGGUCAUGCCACUGGUAUGUACUGGUCUCACUGAUUCCUCCUUCCUGAUGAACUGUAAUGCCAUUAAUUUGGUGUUGCAGGGAAUCUGGACUGUUACUUUGAAAAAAUUGAGUGUUUAAAGCAGGCUAACGCCUGAAUACAUUAGCAUGGAAUAAUGAAAUAGGACGUUCGAUCCUAUUUUGUUGGUUUCUAGGAUUGACGUAAUGAUUAAUAGGGAUAGUUGGGGGCAUUAGUAUUCAAAUUGUCA
rnacentral:rRNA from 1 species